rnacentral:rRNA from 1 species
GUAGCUUGCUACUUGACCUAGCGGCGGACGGGUGAGUAAUGCUUAGGAAUCUGCCUAUUAGUGGGGGACAACAUCUCGAAAGGGAUGCUAAUACCGCAUACGUCCUACGGGAGAAAGCAGGGGACCUUCGGGCCUUGCGCUAAUAGAUGAGCCUAAGUCGGAUUAGCUAGUUGGUGGGGUAAAGGCCUACCAAGGCGACGAUCUGUAGCGGGUCUGAGAGGAUGAUCCGCCACACUGGGACUGAGACACGGCCCAGACUCCUACGGGAGGCAGCAGUGGGGAAUAUUGGACAAUGGGGGGAACCCUGAUCCAGCCAUGCCGCGUGUGUGAAGAAGGCCUUUUGGUUGUAAAGCACUUUAAGCGAGGAGGAGGCUACCGAGAUUAAUACUCUUGGAUAGUGGACGUUACUCGCAGAAUAAGCACCGGCUAACUCUGUGCCAGCAGCCGCGGUAAUACAGAGGGUGCAAGCGUUAAUCGGAUUUACUGGGCGUAAAGCGCGCGUAGGUGGCCAAUUAAGUCAAAUGUGAAAUCCC